rnacentral:sRNA from 1 species
UCCGUCUUCAUGGAAGACUGCCCACGUCCA